AUGAACGCUGGCGGCGUGCCUAAUACAUGCAAGUCGAGCGAACAGACGAGGAGCUUGCUCCUCUGACGUUAGCGGCGGACGGGUGAGUAACACGUGGAUAACCUACCUAUAAGACUGGGAUAACUUCGGGAAACCGGAGCUAAUACCGGAUAAUAUAUUGAACCGCAUGGUUCAAUAGUGAAAGACGGUUUUGCUUUCACUUAUAGAUGGAUCCGCGCCGCAUUAGCUAGUUGGUAAGGUAACGGCUUACCAAGGCAACGAUGCGUAGCCGACCUGAGAGGGUGAUCGGCCACACUGGAACUGAGACACGGUCCAGACUCCUACGGGAGGCAGCAGUAGGGAAUCUUCCGCAAUGGGCGAAAGCCUGACGGAGCAACGCCGCGUGAGUGAUGAAGGUCUUCGGAUCGUAAAACUCUGUUAUUAGGGAAGAACAAAUGUGUAAGUAACUAUGCACGUCUUGACGGUACCUAAUCAGAAAGCCACGGCUAACUACGUG
rnacentral:rRNA from 1 species